AACGCUAGCUACAGGCUUAACACAUGCAAGUCGAGGGGAAACGACAUCGAAAGCUUGCUUUUGAUGGGCGUCGACCGGCGCACGGGUGAGUAACGCGUAUCCAACCUGCCCACCACUUGGGGAUAACCUUGCGAAAGUAAGACUAAUACCCGAUGAUAUCUCUAGACGACAUCUGAAAGGGAUUAAAGAUUUAUCGGUGAUGGAUGGGGAUGCGUCUGAUUAGCUUGUUGGCGGGGUAACGGCCCACCAAGGCAACGAUCAGUAGGGGUUCUGAGAGGAAGGUCCCCCACAUUGGAACUGAGACACGGUCCAAACUCCUACGGGAGGCAGCAGUGAGGAAUAUUGGUCAAUGGGCGAGAGCCUGAACCAGCCAAGUAGCGUGCAGGAUGACGGCCCUAUGGGUUGUAAACUGCUUUUAUAAGGGAAUAAAGUGAGUCUCGUGAGACUUUUUGCAUGUACCUUAUGAAUAAGGACCGGCUAAUUCCGUGCCAGCAGCCGCGGUAAUACGGAAGGUCCGGGCGUUAUCCGGAUUUAUUGGGUUUAAAGGGAGCGUAGGCCGGAGAUUAAGCGUGUUGUGAAAUGUAGACGCUCAACGUCUGCACUGCAGCGCGAACUGGUCUUCUUGAGUACGCACAACGUGGGCGGAAUUCGUGGUGUAGCGGUGAAAUGCUUAGAUAUCACGAAAACUCCGAUUG
rnacentral:rRNA from 1 species